AUUGAACGCUGGCGGCAGGCCUAACACAUGCAAGUCGAACGAGUGGCGGACGGGUGAGUAAUGUCUGGGAAACUGCCUGAUGGAGGGGGAUAACUACUGGAAACGGUAGCUAAUACCGCAUACCAUCAGAUGUGCCCAGAUGGGAUUAGCUAGUUGGUGGGGUAACGGCUCACCAAGGCGACGAUCCCUAGCUGGUCUGAGAGGAUGACCAGCCACACGGGAACUGCGACACGUCCCAGCCUCCUCUGGGAUGCAGCAGGGGGUAUUAUGGGACAAGGGGGGCAAGCCUGAUGCAGCCAUGCCGCGUGUGUGAAGAUGUCCUUCGGGUUGUAAAGCACUUUCAGCGAGGAGGCGUUACUCGCAGAAGAAGCACCGGCUAACUCCGUGCCAGCAGCGGCGGUAAUUC
rnacentral:rRNA from 1 species